AUUUUGAGAUAAUUGUAAAUUUACAUGCAGUUUAAGAAAUAAUGUGAGAGAUCCUGUGUUACGCUAUGCUCAGUUUCCCGCAGUGCUCACAUCUUGAAACAUUGUAAUGCAAUGUCACAACCAGCAUGUUGACAUUGAUGUAAUCCACUGGUCUUCUUCAGAUUUCCCGUUUUACUUUACGUACUCAUUUGUGUGUGCACGUGCAUGUGCAUGUGUGUGUAUUUAGUUCCGUGCAACUUUAUCACUUGUGUAGAGUCGUGUAUCCAUCACCACAGUCAAGAUACAGAACAGCUCCAUCACCAUGAGGGGGCUUCCUGUUGUCUUUUCAUGGUCACAUCCAGGUCCCUCCCACCCCCAUUCUCAGCCCUUACCCCUGGCAAGCACUAAUCUGGUCUCCAUUGCUAUAAUUUUGUCAUUUCAAAAAUAUUGUAUAUAUGAAAUUUGCAGUAUGUAACCUUUUGCGAUUGGCUUUUUUUCAACAUCAAUAUAUAUCAGUAUGCAUGUAUCAAUAGUUUGUUUCGUCUCAUUGCUGAGUAAUAUUAUAUGGUUUUACUUGUGAAUGUAAGUUUUCUUUCUUUCUUUUUUUUUUUUGGAGGAAGAUUAGCCUGAGCUAACUACUACCAAUCCUCCUCUUUUUGCUGAGGAAGACUGGCCCUGAGCUAACAUCCGUGCCCAUCUUCCUUACUUUAUAUGUGGGAUGCCUACCACAGCGUGGCAUGCUAAGCGGUGCCAUGUCUGCGCCCAGGAUCCGAACUGGCGAACCGCGGGCCGCUGAGAAGCAGAACGUGCGAAUUUAACCACUGCGCCACUGGGCUGGCCCCGUGAAUGGGGCAAUGUGCAAGGACUGGAGAAAGGCCUCUGGGAACUAAGGGUGGCCCCAGUUGACCCUCACCAAGAAAACAGGACCACGGUCCUACAACCGUAUAGAUGAAUUCAGCCAACAACCAAAUGACUCUGGAAACAAAUGCUUCUCUGGAGCCUCCAGAAGGGAACACAGCCCUGCUGACACCUUGGUUCCAGUCUUCCGAGACUUGAAGCAGAGAAACCAGCGGAGCCCACCAGAUUUCUAACCUACAGAAUCAGGUUAAUUGUAAGUCUGGGUGUGUCUUGUUACCAAGAUGGCAUGUGGAAACCAUUCAAGAAAUAUUUACCAUGCAAAUAAAGCUGGAAAGAAAAAGAAAAAAAGAGACGGAAAAGAGAAAAAAAAGAGAAAUAUUUACCACACAAGAAAUCAAG
rnacentral:lncRNA from 1 species